CUCACUGAUGGGGUAUGGAGAAAGCUGUAGAGCCCAGUAUCCCAGUCUCCACCAUCUCGAUGGCUUGUUUCAGUUCCAGCUUCUUGUACAAAGAAACAAUGCUUGAUUUGGGUUUCUGCCCUCAUGAGAAGCCACGGUUCCUGUGUAUUCUCAGCCCACGAGGGAGAGCUUCUCAGAGCCCCAUCCUCAGUGAGCUUCCAGCUACUCACUGAUAACUCCAGCCGCAACCUCUCUCCUGAACUGGAAACUAAGUCCAGUGAAAUAUUACAUUCUGAAAGCCUUUAAGUGAUCCAUCAGCUGCCAAACAAACACAAGAAAAUGAUUGCUGGAGAAACGCGAACUCUAAAAGAGACACAGGACGACUAAGACACUUUAAAAAACAAAGGAGGCUUUAAUUUUCUG